UACAGAGGGUGCAAACGUUGUUCGGAAUUACUGGGCGUAAAGGGCUCGUAGGCGGCCAACUAAGUCAUACGUGAAAUCCCUCGGCUUAACCGGGGAACUGCGUCUGAUACUGGAUGGCUUGAGUUCGGGAGAGGGAUGCGGAAUUCCAGGUGUAGCGGUGAAAUGCGUAGAUAUCUGGAGGAACACCGGUGGCGAAGGCGGCAUCCUGGACCGAUACUGACGCUGAGGAGCGAAAGCCAGGGGAGCAAACGGG
rnacentral:rRNA from 1 species